rnacentral:tRNA from 1 species
GUCGGGAUAGCUCAGUUGGUAGAGCAGAGGACUGAAAUCCUCGUGUCA